GACGAACGCUGGCGGCGUGCUUAACACAUGCAAGUCGAACGGAAAGGCCCUGCUUUUGUGGGGUGCUCGAGUGGCGAACGGGUGAGUAACACGUGAGUAACCUGCCCUUGACUUUGGGAUAACUUCAGGAAACUGGGGCUAAUACCGGAUAGGAGCUCCUGCUGCAUGGUGGGGGUCGGAAAGUUUCGGCGGUUGGGGAUGGACUCGCGGCUUAUCAGCUUGUUGGUGGGGUAGUGGCUUACCAAGGCUUUGACGGGUAGCCGGCCUGAGAGGGUGACCGGCCACAUUGGGACUGAGAUACGGCCCAGACUCCUACGGGAGGCAGCAGUGGGGAAUAUUGCACAAUGGGCGGAAGCCUGAUGCAGCAACGCCGCGUGCGGGAUGACGGCCUUCGGGUUGUAAACCGCUUUCGCCUGUGACGAAGCGUGAGUGACGGUAAUGGGUAAAGAAGCACCGGCUAACUACGUGCCAGCAGCCGCGGUGAUACGUAGGGUGCGAGCGUUGUCCGGAUUUAUUGGGCGUAAAGGGCUCGUAGGUGGUUGAUCGCGUCGGAAGUGUAAUCUUGGGGCUUAACCCUGAGCGUGCUUUCGAUACGGGUUGACUUGAGGAAGGUAGGGGAGAAUGGAAUUCCUGGUGGAGCGGUGGAAUGCGCAGAUAUCAGGAGGAACACCAGUGGCGAAGGCGGUUCUCUGGGCCUUUCCUGACGCUGAGGAGCGAAAGCGUGGGGAGCGAACAGGCUUAGAUACCCUGGUAGUCCACGCUGUAAACGGUGGGUACUAGGUGUGGGGUCCAUUCCACGGGUUCCGUGCCGUAGCUAACGCUUUAAGUACCCCGCCUGGGGAGUACGGCCGCAGGGCUAAAACUCAAAGGAAUUGACGGGGCCCCGCACAAGCGGCGGAGCAUGCGGAUUAAUUCGAUGCAACGCGUAGAACCUUACCUGGGUUUGACAUGGAUCGGGAGUGCUCAGAGAUGGGUGUGCCUCUUUUGGGGUCGGUUCACAGGUGGUGCAUGGCUGUCGUCAGCUCGUGUCGUGAGAUGUUGGGUUAAGUCCCGCAACGAGCGCAACCCUUGUUCACUGUUGCCAGCACGUUAUGGUGGGGACUCAGUGGAGACCGCCGGGGUCAACUCGGAGGAAGGUGGGGAUGACGUCAAGUCAUCAUGCCCCUUAUGUCCAGGGCUUCACGCAUGCUACAAUGGCUGGUACAGAGAGUGGCGAGCCUGUGAGGGUGAGCGAAUCUCGGAAAGCCGGUCUCAGUUCGGAUUGGGGUCUGCAACUCGACCUCAUGAAGUCGGAGUCGCUAGUAAUCGCAGAUCAGCAACGCUGCGGUGGAUACGUUCCCGGG
rnacentral:rRNA from 1 species